AGAGUUUGAUCCUGGCUCAGGAUGAACGCUGGCGGCGUGCCUAAUACAUGCAAGUCGAACGCACAGCGAAAGGUGCUUGCACCUUUCAAGUGAGUGGCGAACGGGUGAGUAACACGUGGACAACCUGCCUCAAGGCUGGGGAUAACAUUUGGAAACAGAUGCUAAUACCGAAUAAAACUCAGUGUCGCAUGACACAAAGUUAAAAGGCGCUUUGGCGUCACCUAGAGAUGGAUCCGCGGUGCAUUAGUUAGUUGGUGGGGUAAAGGCCUACCAAGACAAUGAUGCACAGCCGAGUUGAGAGACUGAUCGGCCACAUUGGGACUGAGACACGGCCCAAACUCCUACGGGAGGCUGCAGUAGGGAAUCUUCCACAAUGGGCGAAAGCCUGAUGGAGCAACGCCGCGUGUGUGAUGAAGGCUUUCGGGUCGUAAAGCACUGUUGUAUGGGAAGAACAGCUAGAAUAGGGAAUGAUUUUAGUUUGACGGUGCCAUACCAGAAAGGGACGGCUAAAUACGUGCCAGCAGCCGCGGUAAUACGUAUGUCCCGAGCGUUAUCCGGAUUUAUUGGGCGUAAAGCGAGCGCAGACGGUUGAUUAAGUCUGAUGUGAAAGCCCGGAG
rnacentral:rRNA from 1 species